CAAUAGCGUAUAUUAAAGUUGUUGCGGUUAAAAAGCUCGUAGUUGGAUUUCUGCUGAGGACGACCGGUCCGCCCUCUGGGUGAGUAUCUGGCUUGGCCUUGGCAUCUUCUUGGAGAACGUAGCUGCACUUGACUGUGUGGUGCGGUAUCCAGGACUUUUACUUUGAGGAAAUUAGAGUGUUUCAAGCAGGCGUACGCCUUGAAUACAUUAGCAUGGAAUAAUGAGAUAGGACCUUGGUUCUAUUUUGUUGGUUUCUAGAGCUGAGGCAAUGAUUAAUAGGGGAUAGUUGGGGCAUUCGGUAUUUAUUGUCAGAGGUGAAAUUCUUGGAUUUGCUGAAGACUAACUACUGCGAAAGCAUUCGCCAAGGAUGUUUUUCAUUAAUCAGGGAACGAAAGUUAGGGGAUCGAAGAUGAUCAGAUACC
rnacentral:rRNA from 1 species